AUGGAUUUUUUUCUCUUGACCCAUCCUAAGACUUGGAACCAGGCAACAAGCCUAAAACAGCCACUCUCUUUCACUAGGGAGAGAGAUUCCGUGUGUACCCUGAAGGAAACCAUCGGCUAGAAUCUGCCAGCAGUGUGAUGAUGGAGAAUGAAAUGGAGAAUUUUUCAAGGAUCUCAGUUGAAGCUUGGAAGACAAAGACAGUGAGAUCUAAUGAAACGAGAGGCUGAGAAAACUGGACCCGAUUAGAUGCAUCCAGAGGUGAAGCUCCAGAUCGUGGACUUUAUCAGCCUGAGUGCCUGAUUGAAGAUUAUUUGGAACAGAGCCCUCAGCCAACCUUUGAUGAACUUGAAGUUAACCUUUUCGACAGAAAAGAAAAGAACAAGAAGAGGAAAGAAGAAAGAGGACGAGGAGGAGGAAAUAAUUAUAUGGCCAGACAUAAAAGAGGAAAAGGCCAUCCCUGUAUGUUUGACAGAGACCAGAAAUAAAAUCAUGAGAGAUUAAAUGAUUUAUCCAAUUACAACUUGUUCAGUGGCUUGAUCAAGACUCUUAACACAAACACCCUGACUAUAAGGAAAGAGUUCAUGGUUUCUGUCAGAUUCCUACAUGGGAUCCAGGCUGGAAAUGAGUUAAACAUUUCUGUUCUAGAAGAAGCUCAACUCUUCAAGAGGAGGCAGUAACACACGUUGAGGACAAAAUAGAAACCUCAAAGAUACACCAAAUGACCCAGGCUGGGCCACUGCUCCUUUGCUGCAGGCUGCCUUCUCACCUCUUGAUAUCCUCUGGCCAGCACAACUAUCCCAGACUGAUUCGGGCAGUUGACUGGCAUAGCCUCAAGCUGUGGCUGGUUUCAUAGGAGAUGCACUGUGGACCCACCCUGCCUUCCCCUCAUCCGUCCAGCCCCAGCAUUCCUGAUCUCUGUGCUGCUCUGGCACCAGAAGACAUCCACAGAGACUGGUGCUCACCUCCGUUCUGAGAAGGAGUAUGUUUCUCCUAUCACCAUGAAAAGGCGCUGGUAACCACCACUCUACUCUCUACCUCCAUAAGGUAAGUUGUAUUAGCUCACUCAUUUGAUUGAGAACAUAUGUUAUUUGUCUUUCUGUGCACAGCUUAUUUCACUUAACAUAAUGACUUCCCGUUCCAUCCAUGUUACCACAAACGAUGGGAUUUCAUUCUUUUUUAAGGCUGAAUAUAUUCUAUUAUGUAUAUGUUCCACAUUUUCCUUAUCCAUUCAUCCACUGGUGGACACUUAGGUUAAUUCCAUAUCUUGGCUGUUUUGAAUAGCACUGCAGUAAACAAGGUGGUAUGUGGGCAGGGGGUGUACAGGUAUCCCUUUGUUAUACUUUUUUUGGGAAAAAUAUCCAGCAUUGGAAUUGCCGGAUCAUAUGGUAGUUCUAUUUUUAGUUUUUUGAGAAAACUCCAUACUGUUUUUAAUAAUGACUGUACUGUCUACAUUCCCACCAACAGUGGAUAAGAGUUUGUCUUCUCUGUGUAUCCUUGCCAGCAUUUGUUACUUUUUGUCUUUUUGGUAAUAGCCAUUUUUACUGGGGUAAAGUGUCUCAUUGUGAUUUUGAUUUGCACUUUUCUGAUGACUAGUGAUGUUGAGCUUUUUAAAAUACUUCUGUUGGCCAUUUGUACGACAUAA